UGACGGUACCUGACUAAGAAGCUCCGGCUAAAUACGUGCCAGCAGCCGCGGUAAUACGGAGGAUGCGAGCGUUAUCCGGAUUUAUUGGGUUUAAAGGGUGCGUAGGCGGACUGGUAAGUCAGCGGUGAAAGAUCCACGCUUAACGUGGGAGCUGCCGUUGAUACUGUUGGUCUGGAAUAGGAUUGACGUGGGAGGAAUGUAUGGUGUAGCGGUGAAAUGCUUAGAUAUCAUACAGAACACCGAUUGCGAAGGCAUCUCACGAAAUCCCGAUUGACGCUGAGGCACGAAAGCGUGGGGAUCAAACAGGAUUAGAUACCCUG
rnacentral:rRNA from 1 species